GAAUCACUAUGUGAAAAAAUAAUGCAUGGUUAUUAAAUAAAAAUAAAUCAAGGUAAAGAUAACAUCCAAAAACACUAAUAACACUGGUAUCUAACUCUGAACAUUCUUAUUGUUUUAUUUUUUUGAUAUAUGUAUUUAAAUUUUCAAAGUAGAAUACAUAUAUAUUUUCUGAAAGUUUAAAUAUUUAAAGGCUAAGACAAUAAAAAUAUCCAGAAUUAGAUACCAAUAUUGUUAAUGUGCAGGCACUUUCACACCUUAUGUACAUCGAAAGCUUACUCUCGCGAGUUUUUCCGAUUGUACGUCUAAACUAUGUAAGAUGUUGAAAGAAAAGAUAUCUGACAACUCUUUACUUGGCUCUCUUCAUUGACUUUAGAGACGCAAUGUGUGUCUAAUAAAAAAUUAUUAUUGGCAUUAAUAAUGACUUGUGUUUAUGUGUGAAACGGGUUUACCGUGUUAAAUGUUCAAACGUCCGACGAGAGGUUUGACGUGAUGACUCACCGAGAAAUUGCGCGGUAACCCAGAACCAAUGCAUCCACCAAUGUAGCGUCAUUGCGUCAUCUGGGUGUAUCUGCAAAUAUGAGUACGUCUAUGUACCAACGACUAAUGCGAAGACAAUUAAUCGCACUCGUUUCGCGAUUAAUUCAGAUACAUUAGACGCGCCAUUUACGACAAAGUUAGGACAAAUGUACCAAAGUUACGACAAAGUUAGGACAAAUGUAGGUCCCAACGACGUCGGUCAUCUCGUCAGUGGAAGGAGGGUAUAUUGAAAACCGGUAAGGUGAGUAAUCUGCAACCGGUCGACUUGCUUAAUCGCGAAAUCGUGAGUCAUUGUGGCCAGAGGAAUCUUAAAAGCGAGAUACCGACAACUCGUGAUUCCAGCGCGCAUCGGUAUUCAAUGCAACAUUGAAGGACGAACCGAUAUAAGUGGGCCGAGUGCAUUCAAUGCAGGUGCUCGUACGCAAUCUUAAGUACUUACACGGCCAGCAUCCGCGGUUCAAAGAGAGCCGGCGGCGUGCCUGCCGGUCGUCUUGAUGAACUCGAGCGCAGAAACAUGUGCGUGUACGAUUGCUUGCAAAAAGCGGUGUGCAAAAACAAGACAGAUAAAAUGAACAAAUUCCCGAUUAAAGGUAUCGUAAGAUAUAUCGCUCAAAGCUACAAAUAGGCGUAGAUUAAUUUUAUUUCGGGAAAGGUAGGAAGUUAAUUUAUGGAACUGAUAAGUCAAGAGUAAUCGUCUACUCAUGCGUCAGCACCGUGGGUUUUGUGCACGCGCAAAAUGUAGCGGAAAGAUGCGAUACGUUGAAUAGCAGAAUACAGUGCGACGGUCAUGCUCUGUUGACUGUAACCAUCGGCAUAAGAAUAUCUGAACGGAGCGUGUACUGUUAACUUAGGCAAGGAAUAAGACAAAAGUACCAGUGACUGGACACUAACAACACUGGUACUUCAGCUCUGGAUAUUCUUAUUGUUUUGGCCUUCUUGACUGUGAUUACUCAACAUUUGAUCGAUCCCAUUUUAACUAAAUUAUAGUCCGGUGUACCAAAUUUUCACGUCGAUAACGAAAUCUUUUUUUUUUUUAGUGUAACGUACAAACAUACAACGGCCAUCACAGCUCAUCUAUCGUACCGAUCAUUCAUCAAUUUUUUUUAAUUAAUAACUCAAAAUUUUACGCGGUUGUUUGCGAAAUGAUAGGGACAUUUUAUGUUCAGUUUAAUGUGAUUCUAUCUGUACGCACAACGGGUAUGUCAUUAAUUGUCAGGCAUUCUGUAUAUUCUAUGUACGUUAAAAGUUUAAAUAUUUAAAGACCACACAAAAUGAAUAUCCAAAGUUAGAUAUCAGUAUUAUUAAUGUUCAGAUAAUUGAUACUUUUAUCUUACGGACCGAAGAAACUUUGUUCGCAGAAGCAAUCACCGAAUACCUGAAGUACCACAUUCUGAUAUUGAUGACUGCAACCAGUUGCGAUUCGCGACAUGACGUGAACAGUAUUCUAUGACGUUACUCAAGGAUCGAUUGUCGCUAUUUUUCGCUUGUGCCAGAAGGAAACAUGUGAUUUGUAUGAGACAAUAGCAUAUAUAACCGUAUAUAAAGGAAAAUAUUACAUCGACACACAACCCGCACGAGAUCAACUAGAGAUCUCACGAGGAUCGCUUUUAUCUUUAUAACAACGUGUUUCUUCUUUAUAAUAACGAACGAAGGCACGCAUUCCAUUCCUGGAAGGCACAGAGAUAACCUCUGGGAUUAUGGGCUUAAAAAUCUCGGUUGCAGGAGUGAGACAGCAUCCUACCCGUUCGAAGACAGUAUAAACGGGCCGCCUGGGACAAAGUGCUGCGAUCGUAGAAUUAAGGAGCGUGUGAGACAUACUCAGUGUACAGUUAGCCAAGCUGGUCAUGCUCCCCCGGUUGUAACCAGUCACACCUUUGCACGGAUCCGGCUCGGUGGUAAGCUGAAGGAAGGAAACGGACAGCGGCCGCCGAGGGACGUCGUAAUUCUCUCACUCGUAAAAUUCAGACUUAAUAAAGAGACACGACCGGAUCUUUCCCGGUCAACGGAAGAUCCUACUCGCUUGACAACGCACUCUUCGCCGAAUUGGUGUGACUUGCCUCACGGACUGGAAACGCACGCCCGUAGACGCCCGAACUAAAAACGUUGCGACACUUUCGACGGAUGUUUUCGAUAAGUGACGUCAAAGAGGCCGCAAACGAGGAAAGAUGGAAGAUUUUCAAUUAUCAAAAUAAAAUUUUCUAAUUAAUGUCGGCAUACCCGGAUUAUAAUUUGUGCGCACACACAUGGAAGAAAUGUUGUUAUAAAAAUCACGUUAAAAUUAUAUUUCUUUUGGCAUUUUUUUUUUUGU